CAGUUUCCAUGUCAAUGGAGGUCACAUUGAAUGUUGAUUGCAGGAACUCUCUGUAAGCUUUAUUGUCAACAAACACGUUGGCACUGACCCCUCUUUGCACCCUCACUGCAACAGGAGCCCUUGGUAAGCAAUUUGUUGAAUUCAGACACCUUUCCAACUUCAAUCCCUACAAUCAUGAAAAUUGUUUCUUCAUAACACGAGAUUCAUAUACGUUUGAACCCAACGAUUGAAAUGCUAUCAGAGUACGAUAAAAGUAGUAACUAUAUAUUAGAUUAUUGUUAAGAAUUAAUGCAACUUAGUUGGCAAGUAAUUGAAUUAGUUGAUUUUCAAAAUUAAUGUUAUUGGCUUUUAUUUAGGGGAGUGGCUUUUACGUUUAGAGUUAGUGGCCUAAUGACUUAGCUUAGUUUUCUAUUUACCUACGAAGACUCGUAAUUGUUUGUACUUCGAUGAACCUAUAAAACUCAUAGAAAUUCAGUUGAAGCACUUGAUCCUUUUUGGACAAUAUCUUUUUUGUUUCUAUCUUUCGUUAUCUUCGUUUAUUGUUCUUUGUUAUAAUUAGCUAUACGUAAGGUAAGUUGGGGUAUUUGAGUAGAAAUAGAAGAAGGGGAAAAUGAUUAAGUUAAGAGAAUUGUUUCGAUGGUUUUGGCCUUUUAGACUUGUGUUAAGCAAUUACUUUUGUUAUCUUCUAGCUCUUACCUUUCAUAGUUAAAUACAAUGAUUAUGUUUUGGAUUUUUAUCAUAGCAUGAGAGAUUUUCACAAGUCCUCGUUACAAUGAAAUAUCAUGCAAAUUAGAGAGAGCUUUAAAAUCUUCAAAUGGUAUGGUAGAUAUUGUUAUGCUCCCUCCUCAUCUCUUAUUAUAGAGGCCAAUCCAAGCUAGAUUGAUCUGAUUGAUUACUCCAAAUUUAAUUGACACUAGGAUGAAAGAAUUGGAAACAUGAUUGUUUGAAUUAUUAUUGAGAUGUGAGGGUAGGCAGACAAGUACCUCAAGUUUCUUGGCUAAUGAAAAGUAGUGUUUGUCCACGGGAAUCCAAAACGCAUUCUGUCUGAUUUCAGGAGUUCCAUCUACAGGGAAGAUCUCUUCUGGUUGGUACCAGACAUUGUUCAAAAGGUUGUCUACAGAUUUUUCUGUCUUUGUGUCAACCGUAUUGAAGUUGGAAAAUUUCAGGAAACCGAUCUU
rnacentral:lncRNA from 1 species